rnacentral:rRNA from 2 species
GGACUACAAGGGUAUCUAAUCCUGUUUGCUCCCCACGCUUUCGUGCCUCAGCGUCAAUGUCAGUUUAGCGAGCUGCCUUCGCAAUUGGUGUUCUGUGUCAUAUCUAAGCAUUUCACCGCUACACGACACAUUCCGCCCACCUCAACUGAAUUCAAGACUGAUAGUAUCAAUGGCAGUUUCCGAGUUAAGCUCGGAGGUUUCACCACUGACUUAUCAACCCGCCUACGCACCCUUUAAACCCAGUAAAUCCGGAUAACGCUUGCACCCUCCGUAUUACCGCGGCGGCUGGCAC